GAUGAACGCUGGCGGCGUGCCUAAUACAUGCAAGUCGAGCGAACAGACGAGGAGCUUGCUCCUCUGACGUUAGCGGCGGACGGGUGAAUAACACGUGGAUAACCUACCUAUAAGACUGGGAUAACUUCGGGAAACCGGAGCUAAUACCGGAUAAUAUAUUGAACCGCAUGGUUCAAUAGUGAAAGACGGUUUUGCUGUCACUUAUAGAUGGAUCCGCGCCGCAUUAGCUAGUUGGUAAGGUAACGGCUUACCAAGGCAACGAUGCGUAGCCGACCUGAGAGGGUGAUCGGCCACACUGGAACUGAGACACGGUCCAGACUCCUACGGGAGGCAGCAGUAGGGAAUCUUCCGCAAUGGGCGUAAGCCUGACGGAGCAACGCCGCGUGAGUGAUGAAGGUCUUCGGAUCGUAAAACUCUGUUAUUAGGGAAGAACAAAUGUGUAAGUAACUAUGCACGUCUUGACGGUACCUAAUCAGAAAGCCACGGCUAACUACGUG
rnacentral:rRNA from 1 species